GUCCUCGGUUCGAAACUGGGCGGAAACAGAUCUCUUUGACACGUGCAGUAGGUACUGUACUUUCAACAAAGAAUUGUUAUUUUCAUAAAUUCUGUAUUUUGGAAAUUCGAAUACGUGCCCUGAAUAUCUGUAAAAUUCGGUUUACUCCUUGCAGAUAAUUGUUGAAGCAGUUUCUGUAGUGUAGCGGUUAUCACGUUCGCUUAACACGCGAAAGGUCCUCAGUUUGAAACCAGGAGGAAACACUGCUCUUUGACACGUGCAGUAGGUACUGUACUAUUAACAGAGAAUAGUUAUUUUCAUAAAUGCCUAAUUUUGGAAAUUUGAACGCGUGCCAUGAAUAUCUGUAAAAUUCGGUUUACUCCUUGCAGAUAAUUGUUGCAGAAGUUUCUGUAGUGUAGUGGUUAUCACGUUCGCUUAACACGCGAAAGGUCCCUGGUUCGAAACCGGGCGGAAACAACGCUCAUUGACACAUACUGAAGUGCCAUAGUGGUAACAGAAAAUUUCAUGAGUUCUUUAUUUUGGAAAUUCGAAUACGUGCCAUGAAUAUUUUUAAAAUUCGGUUUACUCCUUGCAGAAAAAUCAAGCAGCAGUUUCUGUAGUGUAGUGGUUAUCACGUUAGCUUUACACGUGAAAGGUCCUCAGUUUGAAACCAGGAGGAAACACUGCUCUUUGACAUGUGCAGUAGGUACUGUACUAUUAACAGAGAAUAGUUAUUUUCAUAAAUGCCUACUUUUGGAAAUUUGAACACGUGCCAUGAAUAUCUGUAAAAUUCGGUUUACUCCUUGCAGAUAAUUGUAGCAGCAGUUUCUGUAGUGUAGUGGUUAUCACGUUCGCUUAACACGCGAAAGGUCCUCGGUUCGAAACCGGGCGGAAACAGAGCUCUUUGACACGUGCAGUAGGUACUGUACUUUCAACAAAGAAUUGUUAUUUUCAUGAAUUCUGUAUUUUGGAAAUUCGAAUACGUGCCAUGAAUAUCUGUAAAAUUCGGUUUAUUCCUCGCAGCUAAAUGUAGCAGCAGUUUCUGUAGUGUAGUGGUUAUCACGUUUGCUUCACACGCGAAAGGUCCCUGGUUCGAAACCGGGCGGAAACAACGCUCAUUGACACAUUCUGUAGUACCAUAGUGGUAACAGAAAAUUUCAUGAAUUCUUUAUUUUGGAAAUUCGAAUACGUGCCAUGAAUAUUUUUAAAAUUCGGUUUACUCCUUGCAGAAAAAUCAAGCAGCAGUUUCUGUAGUGUAGUGGUUAUCACGUUAGCUUUACACGUGAAAGGUCCUCAGUUUGAAACUGGGAGGAAACAGUGCUCUUUGACACGUGCAGUAGGUACUGUACUAUUAACAGAGAAUAGUUAUUUUCAUAAAUGCCUACUUUUGGAAAUUUGAACACGUGCCAUGAAUAUCUGUAAAAUUCGGUUUACUCCUUGCAGCUGAAUGUAGCAGCAGUGUCUGUAGUGUAGUGGUUAUCAAGUUCGCUUUACACGUGAAAGGUCCUCAGUUUGAAACCGGGAGGAAACAGUGCUCUUUGACAUGUGCAGUAGGU
rnacentral:tRNA from 1 species